AUUGAACGCUGGCGGCAGGCUUAACACAUGCAAGUCGAGCGGAGAUGAGGUGCUUGCACCUUAUCUUAGCGGCGGUCGGGUGAGUAAUGCUUAGGAAUCUGCCUAUUAGUGGGGGACAACAUUCCGAAAGGAAUGCUAAUACCGCAUACGUCCUACGGGAGAAAGCAGGGGAUCUUCGGACCUUGCGCUAAUAGAUGAGCCUAGGUUGGGUUAGCUAGUUGGUGGGGUAAAGGCCUACCAAGGCGACGGUCUGUAGCGGGUCUGAGAGGAUGGUCCGCCACACUGGGACUGAGACAGGGCGCAGACUCCUACGGGAGGGAGCAGUGGGGAAUGUUGGACAAUGGGGUGAACCCUGAUCCAGCAAUGCCGCGUGUGUGAAGAAGGCCUUAUGGUUGUAAAGUACUUUAAGCGAGGAGGAGGCUACUGAGACUAAUACUCUUGGAUAGUGGACGUUACUCGCAGAAUAAGCACCGGCUAACUCUGUGCCAGCCGCCGCCGUAACAC
rnacentral:rRNA from 1 species